rnacentral:tRNA from 1 species
CAAGUUAUUAAUCUAGGAUUAUUCUUUAUUUACAUUAAAGAUUUAUUUGUGCAAUUCAAAUUAACUUGA